rnacentral:lncRNA from 1 species
UGAGCAGUGCUAAGGGGGCCUCCAGGGGGAAAUAAAGUCACAGCCUGAGCCGGGGAACCGCAGCUCCCACACCAUCAACACCCUCGGAGGGGGCAAGCAGAACCUCUGGCCUCCUAUCAGGAGCAGAUAAAAGAAAGGACAUCCCCCUUGCACACUGAUUCCUUGGAGGCAUCUGCAUCUCACCUUCAUGGAUCCUCCCUCAGGCCUCCUUUCCUUGUGGCUCCAGGAUGACCCUGUCAGAGAUACUGGACUAUCGUUCAGUUGCAGAGGCCCCAGGGCCUGUCUGGACUUUUCCAUCCCAAGAGGGGCUCGGCUCUAUCCCCUUUGUGCCUGUGACCCUCUCCAUCCCCCACCCGGCUCAGAACUGGCACAGCCACCACCAACCACUCCUGAUUCAACCCAAGCUUCGCCCUUUCCACCUCUCGAGCUGUGCAACAACAAAUGCAGGAUGCUCAGCCCUCAUGUGUCAGUCCCCUCAAUUCACUUGUAAUUAAAUAACAACACACCUCUUUUUCUAAUUUUCAAA